rnacentral:rRNA from 1 species
CGCGUAGGCGGAUUCGCAAGUCAGGGGUGAAAUCCCGAGGCUCAACCUCGGAACUGCCUUUGAUACUGCGAAUCUCGAGUCCGAGAGAGGUAAGUGGAAUUCCUAGUGUAGAGGUGAAAUUCGUAGAUAUUAGGAAGAACACCAGUGGCGAAGGCGGCUCACUGGCUCGGUACUGACGCUGAGGCGCGAAAGCGUGGGGAGCAAACA